rnacentral:rRNA from 1 species
GGUGGGGAUGACGUCAAGUCCUCAUGGCCUUAUGGGUAGGGCUUCACACGUCAUACAAUGGUCGGUACAGAGGGCUGCCAACCCGUAAGGGGGAGCCAAUCCUUUAAAACCGAUCGUAGUCCGGAUUGAGGUCUGCAACUCGACCUCAUGAAGUCGGAAUCGCUAGUAAUCGCGGAUCAGCAUGUCGCGGUGAAUACGUUCCCGGGUCUU